ACUGUAUCAGUAUAUGAUACCAGUUAUCAGUUUGUGGAUAAUAAUUUAUUUGAUCAUUAUUAUACAUAUGCUAUAACUGGAGUUAGUAAAUUAGGAGAAGGAAUAUCUAAUAAUAAUACAUUCUCAUAUUAGAGAGGUACAAUAUUUUAUCUGUAUGUGGGUAUUUCAAAGGCUUAAGUGCAUAUGUGUCUGUUGUCUAAUUAGACUGAAUUUUAAUAAUAAUUGUGCAUGCAAAAUAGAAGUAAAUAUAUUUAAGCUUUAAUAGUUCCGAGAUUGGCAGUGGAGACUAAUUUUGUGGCGAUUUAUACACAAAAUCAAACAGUUACAGUCAGUACUGUUCAUUACAAUAUCUCAAUUGCAAUAGGGAGUACUAGUAGAGCUCCUGUAAAUGUUAGAUUUACUAUCGAGUGCAAUGAAACUGGAGUUGAGUAUGAUAAUACUAUACUAGUGGAGAAUGCUACAACAGGAUCAGUACCAGUACCUCUUAAUGAUAAUUGUUCAUUUAUUACUGUUGUUAGCAAUUGCACUGGUAGUAGUGAACCAUUUAAAGAAUCAUUUAACACUACUCCUCCUAGUGCUCCUACUAUCAGUAAUGCACCAUCACCUACUGAUCUACCUACAUUGGAUGAUACUAUUGUUAUAAUUGGAUCUACGCUUGGAGCAAUAGUAGUUUUGACGAUCGUUCCAAUACCAAUAUUGAUAGCUUAUUGUUUAUGUAAACAUAGAUCUACUACUCAUGUUGUACAAAGAAAUGGCAAAAAUCAAGGACAGCAGGAUCAAGGGGAUACUAAACUCUAAAUAAGCAUAUUUACUUUUGUAUGUUGUAGAACAAAUUUAUAGCUAUCUAUUUAUUUUGACUGUUUUUUAACCUUCUAGAUUAAUAUUAUGUGAUUUCUUCAUUG